rnacentral:rRNA from 1 species
CCUACGGGUGGCAGCAGUGGGGAAUAUUGGUCAAUGGGCGCAAGCCUGAACCAGCAACGCCGCGUGAAGGAUGAAGGUUUUCGGGUUGUAAACUUCUUUUUAUAGAGAAGAUAAGUACGGUAUCUAACGAAUAUGCACCGGCUAUUUCCGUGCCAGCAGCCCCGGCAAUACGGAGGGUGCAAGCGUUAUUCGGAAGCACUGGGCGUAAAGAGGGCGUAGACGGGAUAGCAAGUCAGAUGUGAAAUUCUAGGGCUUAACCAUAGAACUGCAUUUGAGACUGUUAUUCUUGAGUAUGGGAGAGGUAGGCGGAAUUCGUGGUGUAGCGGUGAAAUGCGUAGAUAUCAAGAAGAACACUCAUUGCGAAGGCGGCUUACUAGACCAUAACUGACGCUGAUGCGCGAAAGCGUGGGGAGCAAACAGGAUUAGAUACCCCAGUAGUC